rnacentral:rRNA from 1 species
GACGGUAGGGGGCAAGCGUUGUCCGGAUUUAUUGGGCGUAAAGAGCGUGUAGGCGGUUUGGUAGGUCCGCUGUGAAAACUCGAGGCUCAACCUCGAGACGCCGGUGGAAACCAUCAGACUAGAGUCCGGAAGAGGAGAGUGGAAUUCCUGGUGUAGCGGUGAAAUGCGCAGAUAUCAGGAAGAACACCCGUGGCUAAGGCGGCUCUCUAGUACGGUACUGACGCUGAGACGCGAAAGCGUGGGGAGCGAACAGG